rnacentral:tRNA from 6 species
GCGCGAGUGGCGGAAUGGCAGACGCUCCAGGCUUAGAACCUGGUGCCCGUACGGGCGUGGGGGUUCGAGUCCCCCCUCGCGCACCA